rnacentral:rRNA from 1 species
CCUAACACAUGCAAGUCGAACGGAUGAAAUAAGCUUGCUUAUUUCGUUAGUGGCGCACGGGUGAGUAAUGUAUAGCUAACCUGCCCUUUAGUGGGGGACAACAGUUGGAAACGACUGCUAAUACCCCAUACUCCUUCUUAUCACAAGGUAAGUUGGGAAAGAUUUAUUGCUAAAGGAUGGGGCUUUAUGGUAUCAGCUAGUUGGUGGGGUAACGGCCUACCAAGGCGAUGACGCCUACCUGGUCUGAGAGGAUGAUCAGGCACACUGGAACUGAGACACGGUCCAGACUCCUACGGGAGGCAGCAGUGGGGAAUAUUGCACAAUGGAGGAAACUCUGAUGCAGCAACGCCGCGUGGAGGAUGACGCAUUUCGGUGUGUAAACUCCUUUUAUAAGGGAAGAUAAUGACGGUACCUUAUGAAUAAGCACCGGCUAACUCCGUGCCAGCAGCCGCGGUAAUAC